CGUAGGGAGCAAGCGUUGUCCGGAAUCAUUGGGCGUAAAGCGCGCGUAGGCGGCCUUGUAAGUCCGUUGUGAAAGUCAAAGGCUCAACCUUUGAAAGCCGAUGGAUACUGUGAGGCUAGAGUCCGGAAGAGGCGAGUGGAAUUCCUGGUGUAGCGGUGGAAUGCGCAGAUAUCAGGAGGAACACCAAUAGCGAAGGCAGCUCGCUGGGACGGUACUGACGCUAAGGCGCGAAAGCGUGGGGAGCGAACAGGAUUAGAUACCCUGGUAGUCCACGCCGUAAACGAUGGGCACUAGGUGUGGGAGGUGUCGACUCCUCCCGUGCCGUCGCUAACGCACUAAGUGCCCCGCCUGGGGAGUACGGCCGCAAGGCUA
rnacentral:rRNA from 1 species